GACGAACGCUGGCGGCGUGCUUAACACAUGCAAGUCGAACGGAAAGGCCCUGCUUUUGUGGGGUGCUCGAGUGGCGAACGGGUGAGUAACACGUGAGUAACCUGCCCUUGACUUUGGGAUAACUUCAGGAAACUGGGGCUAAUACCGGAUAGGAGCUCCUGCUGCAUGGUGGGGGUUGGAAAGUUUCGGCGGUUGGGGAUGGACUCGCGGCUUAUCAGCUUGUUGGUGGGGUAGUGGCUUACCAAGGCUUUGACGGGUAGCCGGCCUGAGAGGGUGAGCGGCCACAUUGGGACUGAGAUACGGCCCAGACUCCGACGGGAGGCAGCAGUGGGGAAUAUUGCACAAUGGGCGGAAGCCUGAUGCAGCAACGCCGCGUGCGGGAUGACGGCCUUCGGGUUGUAAACCGCUUUCGCCUGUGACGAAGCGUGAGUGACGGUAAUGGGUAAAGAAGCACCGGCUAACUACGUG
rnacentral:rRNA from 1 species